rnacentral:lncRNA from 1 species
AUACAAAAGUUUACAAAAGGUAUUACACAAAUAUUACUGUUAACUUAACUGUCAAAAUAUGUGUCCAAUCUGUUAUCUUUAUCUGUAUCCGGAAAUCUUUCGGAAUCCAAUUUGAAUAUUACGUUCACUACUAAUGUCACAAUCCAGUAUGAUGUUGUUUGUAGAAUAAAAGUGUCAAUCCAAAUGCUGUGAAUACUAACGUCUAUCAAUGUCCAUG